UCUCAUCUCAUCCGUGCAUCCCAUCCCAACGCAAUGACCCACAGUCCCACCUAAGCCGCACGAUGACUCCACCGUAUUCCUCCUCGCCCCCGCGCAAUGACUCCCGCCGUGGCCUGCCCCCGAUGGAGCCGACUCCGCCACGCACUCCACGGCUCCACGCGCGCUCCUCGCUACUCCUCGCUCCUCACCUCCCUGCCGCGAUGCCGCCGCCGAACACCACCUCGGAGGAAAAAAGAAAAACUUUCCCAAUCCUCCCACGCCGCGAACCCUAAUGAAUCGGAGGCGGAGGCGGCCACCACCUGGCCCUGCGCCGGCACGGCGGCGGCGAUGACGGAGUCCUCCCCUUCUCCACGUGGACUGCCGCCACAUCCUCGCUAGAGCCGCUGCCCACGCCGACAUCUUCUUCUGCCGCCGCCGGAGCCUGCUUCUUCCCCACCGCCGCGGUUGGAGCUGACCUCGGCCCCAUCCGCCGCUGUCGCCGCCGAUGGGGCUGGUCGAUCUCUCCUCUCUCUCAGCAGUGAAGUUUCAUCCUGAUCCAGAACAGAAGCAAGACAUCGAGUUACGAGCCGAUCAAUUUACAUGCCUAGUGCCUCCCAGUCAAUCUAUUUUGAGGAUUACUAGGGACAAAAUGAUCAUUAAUACUCCGGUCCAAGAGGGUGUUUGAUGCAAUGCUGGUUAGUCAUUCUUAUUCCCCAAGAAGAUUUGUCUUUGCAAGUGGAUUUCUUAUGUGCACUCAAUUUUUCUUGAUGCUGAAUUACCAACAUUUGUUAUGGGGUUUAGAUAUUUAGAUGUCUAAUAUUUACAUUGAUAUAUAUGCUGUGAUUAUUCUGACACUCACUUGAUAGCUGUUUUUGUUUCAACGUGUGCAUUUCUGUGAUUUUCCCAAGCACCCUUUACUACCCCUUUCCCACCUCUAUUUUCUUGAGCACGAUCAUCUUAAUUGCAAUUUAGGUCAAUCUUCUGUUCUCUGCAUCGCGGACGUUUUUUUUUCGCGAACGAGUUCUCUGCAUCCUAAUUCAAUGGAUGACACAGGGAGCUUCUUUGGUAUAGACAGGGAGCAUCAGUACUGUCUAAUAUUGCACCACUGUUGUCAUUGAAGCAACAUCAGUUUUAUGUGUUUUAGUGCUUCAAUCGAUCUAAAGCAAUACCUUGAAGUACAUUUUGUAUAUUUUCUAAUGCCUCUCCCCGGACAUAAUGGGAUGAACUUCGUAAACAUUUGCAGUAACAAGGUGAGCAAGCAGCUAACCAUUUCAUUAAAAUUGCGAUCUUUGUUGUUUGCAUGGAUAUGAACUGAAGAAUUGAGAUCUUUGUUGUUUGCAUGGAUAUGAAUUGAGGAAGGAUAAUAUUAUACUCUUGGAGUUCCCAAAAGGUCGACAGUCCAAUGGCCGAUGAAUGCAUGCUUUGAUGCUCUGCCUACUGAGUUAAUAAGUUAAUAAGGUGUAGUCUCCUGCUUAGUCUCCCUGUUCUUCGCCGAGUUCGUCGCCGUCCUUCGCCGGAGGAGAGGAGAGCUGGUGCCGGCGGAGGGAGGAGGGGAGCCAGCGCCGGCGGAGAGAAGAGGGGAGAGAGCCGGCGUGACCGUGAGGGAGGAGUAGUUGGGGGAUUUGGGUAAAGUAGUAUGGGUGGAGAUUUAUAUUCUUCUCUCGAUUUUAGGGUGGUUACUAUAAAAUUUGGAUUUCUUUGUAAAUUGAUAAACACGUGAGGGCUGAAAUGGAAAGUUACAAGGGUUGAAAGAAGAAGUAAGUCACUCGUGAGGCUAUUUGCACUGUGGGAAUAAAAAACUUGAUCCAGAUCUUCAUCCUGUAUGAAAUAGAAUGAUGGUAAGCUGCACUGUGAGAGGCCUAA